AAUGGAGAUACCACCACCAAACACACGGGACCGUUGAGAAGAGCAGAGGAGUUGAGAGAACAGUGUUGAGUAUGAGGCUUGGUCCUCACUGAGCAUUCCUGCCGUGUUUGCUGCUGAAGAUGAUGAUGGAGAUGGAGAUGACGCAGAGUCGGAGGCAGAACGGCCUUUCGUGUGAUGUGGCGUGAGAACAGUGGCCACCGAGGAGACCGUGAGAACAGAACCUACUUCUAGCACAAAAUGGACAUAGUGUCCACUGCAUGACUGGUGACACGUGUUCUUUGGUUCUUGCGGUUUAAUGUGUAGGACCCAUAAGGACAGUGUGAAAAUGUCUACUGCUCAUCUUCUCCACAUCAGCUUGCAACACAAUUUCGGGUGCGCCCCCCAGUGGCAGCCUGGAUAGUGUGUAGCAUAUGGACGUGGAAGUUAAGACUGGCCUGGUCUCGAGACUCGCUUGCUAGGUGUCUGAGACUGCAUGUCUCUUCAGUUUGAUUCGGCUUCGGUUUGCCCGUGUUUACUCUGAGGAUCAUAGUUUCUCUCGUGGAUACCAGGGCACAGAGGAGUUAACAGAAGUCAAGUGGCUGGCAGGUCCUGCAGCCCAGUCUGAGAAGCUGAGAUGAUUAUAAAAGCGGUGGGAUCACUAACCUUAGCUCUGGAGUCUUCAUUGUUGUACUUGUUACCCUCACUCGAGGACCCAUGGCUCCCUCCAGGUCCCAGCCUCCUCA